rnacentral:ncRNA from 2 species
UGAUUAUCAAGAGUGGUGGAGGGACUGGCCCUAUGAAGCCCGACAACCGGCAUUCUCAUUCGAAUGUAGCGGUGUCAAUUCCUGCAGAAUAUUAUUUAUUCUGGAAGAUAAGAA